rnacentral:misc_RNA from 1 species
GAAAUGCGAUAAGUAGUGUGAAUUGCAGAAUUCAGUGAAUCAUCGAAUCUUUGAACGCACAUUGCGCCCCUUGGUAUUCCAUGGGGCAUGCCUGUUCGAGCGUCAUUUGUACCCUCAAGCUCUGCUUGGUGUUGGGUGUUUGUCCCGUCUCCGCGCGUGGACUCGCCCCAAAGUGAUUGGCAGCCGGCGUACUGGUCCCGGAGAGCAGCACAUGUCGCGCAAACGAGUGCCUUGGUACGGCGGCGUCCAUAAGCCCCUCUCUCACGCUCUUGACCUCGGAUCAGGUAGGGAUACCCGCUGAACUUAAGC